GAAAAUGCUGAGGGUAAACAUCACUGACAUUGGUGUCAAGGCUUUGUAGUAUGGCUGAGAACAAACAUACCUAUCCUGUUUUAUCAUUAAAUAUGUAACGAUGGCAUUUUCUCCAUGUAAAUGAUUCACUUUGUCUUCUAUCACUUUUGCAUUUGUAAUGAGCUGAUUUCAAUUGGUUGGUUUGAGGGCCCGUGCUGUAGCCUAAACACACUCCCACAGCUGAGUAGUGUGACAAGAUUAGAGCUGUAAACAUGAACAUUCUCCCGUAAUUUUUUUCUCCCCCAGAUGAGAAUGAAUUUCACGGACACCAGAGGGUUAGAAGAGAGUUAAACCUGAACUGCAGAUGUUUGGAUGUGAGGAAUAUCGUAGUGUCGUCCCAUUUGAUAACUGGGCCACGGUCCUAUGCAGUAGAAGAAGUGGGGGAUGGGAUGGAGAUAGAGGAGAAGCUCACUGCCAAUCUCGUUCCUCUCCCAGUGAAAUCUCCUAGACAGCUCCAGAAUAACCCCUGCUGGGAGAGAUUUAACACGUCCAAUUCCAACUGUGCUCAGACGCAUUCCCAAACGGGCGUCGACGAUCCUCCACCUCAGAAGAAUAGAAAAGUUGCUCAAAGCAAAAACUAUUCCUCACCGCAAUCUGAACAAACAAACAUCAAACAACAGAGACUGAAGCAGCGACUGCUGCCACUGACCAGGUCCCAUUGGGGCCCAGCCUCUUCAUGUGUUUUGUGUGUAGAGCAGUCUGCAGAGGAACUAGCAGUGCCAUGGCGGUGUAGGGCGAUGGUGGCACAGAACCCUGAACCAUCUCGGCUCCCUUCCAGAAUCCUGCCAAACCUCCAAAACACAAUUAGAGCAUCUGGCUGUGAGAUACUGGAGCUGUGCCGACGUAUGUCCUCUAGGAUGAACUAUGUGAACCAUGUGAGCCCGACCACAUCUGGAACUGGAACUAGACCGGUGGGUUGGAGGUUGCUUGGGAAGCCCGUCGGGGACAGCGGAGCACAGGUGCGGGUCAGUCAACCAGAACACCACUCAUGGAAAGUGAGAAAGUUCUCUGGGGCAUCAGUUGACAGCCACAGUCUCACCAGCCUUCUGCAUAAUAGUGAUUGUGGUUCUGGUGUAUCCAGGGGCAGCCAGACCCAGACACAUCUUCCAGAUACUGCGCUCUCUGGCUGUGCUAAAGACAGCAAAGGAGACAGCCAACAGCAUGGACGGAAGGUCAGCGGAUCCAGGAGGGACCAGAGAGGUGGAGGUGGGGUUGGAAAAGGGAGACAGAUGCCCAGAGAAGAAUCCUUGCGGUGGGGUGAAGGAUCAACAUGGCCUUGGGACUCCGAGAGUCAGUCAAGGAACCAGCGGCAGAACGAGUCCCCAACAGACUGUGAUGUCACCCUACUGCACAUUGUGCAUCUUUUACAGUGUAGGUCAGUCAAUCUGUCUCAUGUCAGGGAAGAAGGACAAUUUGGAGAGGAUUUUCAACAUAUCCUUCACAACAGACAAACUUGA
rnacentral:lncRNA from 1 species